ACCACCUUAAUUAAUAAAUUGAUUGCUGCUUGAAUAUUGGCCUAGUCAAACUUCUUAUUUAUAACAGAUUUGGUGCGUUGGCCGGGAAAAUUUCCAAAUCCAUUGAGGGAGACUCCUGAUCUCAGGGAGGCGCCCCACCUUGCAGGCUUUUGCCUCAGGUGGCCCUGAGUGACUGGGGAAUCUUUCAGGGAAGAGGAAAUUUCUAAGGUAAAUUAUGAGCAAAAGAAUUUUGAGCUCCCGGAGUAGACUGCAGUAAGUUCACCUGUAAUAACUCGUGCACGAAGACCCAGGCGAGAAAAGGAGGCUAAGUCCUUUCCAAGCACUACUGAAACAGCAGUCUGAACCAUGAAAAGAGAGUGAAUUUAUGCCAACAAAAUCAAAGAACUUGUGAAGAAACCUGAAGAAUAGACUAUCACAUUUAAACUGGGUGAUACCGAAUUGACUUUCAAACCGGGAUUGAGUAGUAAUAGUUUAAGAAAACCCAAUGAUCCAAGAAAUGUACAAAGAAUAACACUUAAUUAAGAAAUAAGGAAAAGCUUACAUCACUGGUUUACUUUUUUUUUGAUUCAUCCUGAUACUGGACAUGGUACCUAGGUUGUAAGUAAAUGUGUGAAUUGUGGGAAUAAUUAGUAUUGUGGUUCACAAAAUUUAUACUCUUAUUGCAAGAAGUGUUAAAGUAAUAACUUUGUUUUGUGGAUGGGAAUUAUUAGUAUCGGUUGAAUGAGAAGUACCUGAGGAACAGGUGAGAAACCAUAAUUAAGAAUUUGUCUGGAAAUUAGCUGAGAGAAAGUGAGAAGGAAAUAGAGGGCAAGACCAGAUUGGCCUCUGUAUUUCGCCACCAAGAAGAUCAAAUACACCUGCUGUGGAUUGCAACUCCACAGGCGUGGGAGGUGGGAAUAUAAGCCAUACUGGACCUCUGUUAUUCCUGUUUCUGUCACUCAUUUGUUGUUUUUUCCCUUUCGGGAUACCAGCAAGAUCAUGUCACAAAUGCUACAGAAAGCAUCAUAUAGAAAGAAACCAAAGUUCCUCUUUUAUUACACACACCCAUGUCAACAGCCACUGUUAUAACCCAUCCUAAUUAAGAACCUAUAGGUAAAAUGGAGAAAAUUAUUAGAUUGCAAGAAACUUAAGAAAAUUUAGUAAUAGACAAGGAAUUGAGUGUCCAAAAG